rnacentral:lncRNA from 1 species
AUGGGGUUGACCCCAAAGGCAUCCAGCAGAGCCCUGGGCAUGAUGGAAUGGAGGCAGAACGUGAGUAUGUGGGCAGAAGGGACAGGUAUAAACUGUUACUGGAUCGAGCCAUCUUGGCCCCAAAGCAAGCAAGGGCUAGACUAUUGGGUGAAGGGUCUCUCUUCUGUGUGCCCUGUUCCCCUCUGCCUACCUGUCUCUUGGGAAUGGGCUCCUGGUGGCUGGGGGUGGGGGUGGCAUCUCUUGGUGUUCCAUGGGAAUAGUGGAGUGCCUCUCUUCUUUCUCAAGUGUCUGCUUUCUCUCUCUUUCCCUCCCCCAUCCUUCAUUGUUUCCUCCCCUUCUUCUGUCUUCUCCCUCCCCCCAAUCCUGUGCAGAACAUUCCCCGCAGGAAGGGCAAGAAGGGCAAGGGCAAGAGAAAGGGCAAGGGCAAGAGGAAAGGGAGAGGCAAGAAGAAGAGGAACAAGGAGUCGCCGGAGACGUCCUCGCUCACUCCGGCCCCCGGCCAGUAUGAGAUUCCAACUCGAGCUACACCUACAAAGGCAGCCACUGAGUCCUGGGAAGAGAAUCCUGGAGUUAUUACUGCAACCACUGUCGCAGUUGGCUUUAACCUCACAGACAACUAUGAGGACCUUUUUGGAGAACAGUACGAGAUUGGUGAGGACUCAGACCUGGAUGCCAAUGGCACUUACAGAGCAUACGAGGAGAGACUUGACUACAGAGACAGGGAAUAUGAGGACUACUAUGACCGAAGGGAUGCGAAUGAGGAAGAGCGGUAUGAUCCGGCUGAGCGCAGUGAAGACACCCUCCAGCUCCCCCCGGAAAAGAAUCUGAAAGGAGAGAAAGGGGAGCCAGCCAUCAUAGAGCCAGUGAGUAUGGUACAUGUUCUGUAGUGGCACUGGUGCUCCUCCAUCAGUAUGACUAGGGGCUGAAAGCCACUUGGUGAUGGGGUGGAAGGGGGUGGAAGAUACCAGCAAUAAGUUAUGGGAAGGUUUUUGGGUGUGUGGCAGGCUGUCAGUAGUAAAUAUGGGAGACAGU